rnacentral:rRNA from 1 species
GUGUCAGCCGCCGCGGUAACACGUAGGGGGCAAGCGUUGUCCGGAAUUAUUGGGCGUAAAGAGCUCGUAGGCGGCUCGGUAAGUCAGGUGUCAAAUCCUCAGGCUCAACCUGGGGCUCCACCUGAUACUGCUGUGGCUAGAGUCCGGUAGGGGAGCGUGGAAUUCCUGGUGUAGCGGUGAAAUGCGCAGAUAUCAGGAGGAACACCAGCGGCGAAGGCGGCGCUCUGGGCCGGAACUGACGCUGAGGAGCGAAAGCGUGGGUAGCAAACAGGAUUAGAAACCCUAGUAGUCC